rnacentral:rRNA from 1 species
GACAGAGGAGCCAAGCGUUGUCCGGACUGACUGGGCGUAAAGCGCCCGCAGGCGGCCGUUGACACGUGGGGUGUGAAAGCCCUCGGCUCGAACCGAGGAAGUGCAUCUGAAACUGGCGAGCUAGAGUACGUAAAGAGGGUCGCGGAAUUCCCGGUGUAGAGGUGAAAUGCGUAGAUAUCUGGAGGAACACCGGUGGCGAAGGCGGCAUCCUGGACCGGCACUUGACGCUGAGGCGCGAAAGCCAGGGGAGCAAACGGG